rnacentral:rRNA from 1 species
CCCUUAGAUGUCCUGGGCCGCACGCGCGCUACAAUGACUCACUCAGAAAGUUUUUCCUGAUCCGGAAGGAUUCGGGUAAUCUUCAUAGCAUGAGUCGUGUUAGGGAUCGAUCUUUGCAAUUAUAGAUCUUGAACGAGGAAUGCCUAGUAAGUGCAGCUCAUCAGGCUGUACUGAUUACGUCCCGGCCCUUUGUACACACCGCCCGUCGCUCCUACCGAUUGAGUGGUCCGGUGAACCUUCUGGAUUAAGCAGCAAUGCUUGAGAAGUUAGGUAAACCUUAUCACUUAGAGGAAGGAGAAGUCGUAACA